GAAAUGCGAUAAGUAGUGUGAAUUGCAGAAUUCAGUGAAUCAUCGAAUCUUUGAACGCACAUUGCGCCCCUUGGUAUUCCAUGGGGCAUGCCUGUUCGAGCGUCAUUUGUACCCUCAAGCUCUGCUUGGUGUUGGGUGUUUGUCCCGUCUCCGCGCGUGGACUCGCCCCAAAGUGAUUGGUAGCCGGCGUACUGGUCCCGGAGCGCAGCACAUGUCGCGCAAACGAGUGCCUUGGUACGGCGGCGUCCAUAAGCCCCUCUCUCACGCUCUUGACCUCGGAUCAGGUAGGGAUACCCGCUGAACUUAAGC
rnacentral:misc_RNA from 1 species